rnacentral:rRNA from 1 species
UACGUAGGUGGCAAGCGUUGUCCGGAAUCAUUGGGCGUAAAGGGCGUGUAGGUGGAUAAAUAAGUCGUGUGUCUAAGUGCGGGGCUCAACCCCGUAUGGGCGCAGGAAACUGUUUAUCUUGAGUGCAGGAGAGGAAAGUGGAAUUCCCAGUGUAGCGGUGAAAUGCGUAGAUAUUGGGAGGAACACCAGUGGCGAAGGCGACUUUCUGGACUGUGUCUGACACUGAGGCGCGAAAGCCAGGGGAGCGAACGGG